GGCAGGUCCUCGUCCCUCGGGCCCGUGGCGCUGUCGUGGAUGUAGGGGUUCCGCUUGCCUGGGCCCUGGGCUAUGCAGAGGGAGACACGAACCAGGGGCUGGAGCUCUGUUUUCAGGCCACCUGACCAGCUGAGGAGAUCGUCAGAAAGGCUGGGACACCAACGGAUGACGCACAAAUGGAGGAAUUUUCAGGCACGGUCAAAGCUAAUGGGAGGGAAAAUACUGAAGUGUAAUAUUCCAGAGUUCUCUCUUGUCUGCUCUGACUCCUGCCAGCUGCCCUGCACCUAGAGGGACAGGAGGCUCUUCUCCGGGGCAUUGCAUGGCCGGGAGCCAAAUGAGCUGGCACCAGAACCUGGUGAGUUGCCUGGCUUUUCAGACCUCAGCCUCCUCACCUGUGAAGUGGGUUGAACAGCUCUUCUCUGCAGAGGAGCUGUUGAGGGCGGUAUGGAACACUGCCAGGCACACAGUUGGCCCUUGACAAAACCAUUGCUGUGUCCCCAGCCUGUUUCUCCCCAAGUCCCAUUGAUGGUUCUCUCUAUCCCUGUUUCCUCAGAAGGUCAGGUUUUCUAAGCCCGAAGGCUUGGAGCCAGGCAGGAGCUGUCUCCCUCUCCAGUGCUGCCGACUCAACCCUUUUCCCUUAGAAGCAGGGAGGGAGGCUCCCCUUGGCUCCCUCCCUCUGCAGCCCUGGCUCUGCGCCCUGGGAAUGCUGCCUGGGGCAGGGCCACGUAGAGAGCAG
rnacentral:lncRNA from 10 species